GGGACACGUGGUAUCCUGUCUGAAUAUGGGGGGACCAUCCUCCAAGGCUAAAUACUCCUGACUGACCGAUAGUGAACCAGUACCGUGAGGGAAAGGCGAAAAGAACCCCGGCGAGGGGAGUGAAAAAGAACCUGAAACCGUGUACGUACAAGCAGUGGGAGCACCUUCGGGUGUGACUGCGUACCUUUUGUAUAAUGGGUCAGCGACUUAUAUUCUGUAGCAAGGUUAACCGUAUAGGGGAGCCGCAGGGAAACCGAGUCUUAACUGGGCGUUAAGUUGCAGGGUAUAGACCCGAAACCCGGUGAUCUAGCCAUGGGCAGGUUGAAGGUUGGGUAACACUAACUGGAGGACCGAACCGACUAAUGUUGAAAAAUUAGCGGAUGACUUGUGGCUGGGGGUGAAAGGCCAAUCAAACCGGGAGAUAGCUGGUUCUCCCCGAAAGCUAUUUAGGUAGCGCCUCGUGAACUCAUCUUCGGGGGUAGAGCACUGUUUCGGCUAGGGGGUCAUCCCGACUUACCAACCCGAUGCAAACUACGAAUACCGAAGAAUGUUAUCACGGGAGACACACGGCGGGUGCUAACGUCCGUCGUGAAGAGGGAAACAACCCAGACCGCCAGCUAAGGUCCCAAAGUCAUGGUUAAGUGGGAAACGAUGUGGGAAGGCACAGACAGCCAGGAUGUUGGCUUAGAAGCAGCCAUCAUUUAAAGAAAGCGUAAUAGCUCACUGGUCGAGUCGGCCUGCGCGGAAGAUGUAACGGGGCUAAACCAUGCACCGAAGCUGCGGCAGCGACACUAUGUGUUGUUGGGUAGGGGAGCGUUCUGUAAGCCUGCGAAGGUGACCUGUGAGGGUUGCUGGAGGUAUCAGAAGUGCGAAUGCUGACAUAAGUAACGAUAAAGCGGGUGAAAAGCCCGCUCGCCGGAAGACCAAGGGUUCCUGUCCAACGUUAAUCGGGGCAGGGUGAGUCGACCCCUAAGGCGAGGCCGAAAGGCGUAGUCGAUGGGAAACAGGUUAAUAUUCCUGUACUUGGUGUUACUGCGAAGGGGGGACGGAGAAGGCUAUGUUAGCCGGGCGACGGUUGUCCCGGUUUAAGCAUGUAGGCUGGUUAUCCAGGCAAAUCCGGAUAAUCAAGGCUGAGGUGUGAUGACGAGGCACUACGGUGCUGAAGUAACAAAUGCCCUGCUUCCAGGAAAAGCCUCUAAGCAUCAGGUAACAUCAAAUCGUACCCCAAACCGACACAGGUGGUCAGGUAGAGAAUACCAAGGCGCUUGAGAGAACUCGGGUGAAGGAACUAGGCAAAAUGGUGCCGUAACUUCGGGAGAAGG
rnacentral:rRNA from 1 species